CUAAGAGAAAGUACUGGAAAAAUUGCAAAUCCUGUUCCUGGGCUGAAAGUGGAUCAUAACAUCCAUAUAAGAUAUUUCCUUAUGUAUCAUCUCUUAAGGUUUCAAGUAACAUGACUGAGGAGAAGGAACAUUAAUCAAGGUGUCAUCUUCCACUUUUCCCUCAGGCAAAACAAACAAACAAACAAAAACCCCAACAAGCUACCCUUCCUGUUGAAAUAUUUGUAUUGGGGAAGAAGAUUGCAAAAGAUCACUGAGUGACGGAAAAGAAGAAUUACUAAGUUGUGACUUUCCAGGCUGUUACAGUUGACUGGGUGCUUGUUACUCCAAAGAUGUGUUGGUUCUUUGCUGCGUUAUCAAGAGGCCUGUUAAGCAAUGCUGUGGCUCCUGCCUGAAGCCAUCCUGGGAAGCUGCUCUUCCAGCAUGCAGGGCUCUCACUUUUGCUAACGCUUUCAGGCCAUCUGCUUUUUGUUCUGUGAUUUCCUUCUUUCUCCUUCCUUGUUGUGCACCUCACUGCUUUGUUAGUCAUUCCUACACCCCCUCCAGUUCUUUUGUGCUGCACGUUCUGAUUUAUAUCUAAUGUUGGAAGACUGUUUGAUACCCUGCUCCCUUUUUUUUGUUUCAGUUGAAUUCCCAGAAAUGUAGUGCAGGGGGUACCCAAGAUGUAGUACACUCCCUCUGGAGAUCUCUAAAUCACCACUUUUAUUUUACUCCUUAAUUCUUCGUUUCUCUCUGAGCAUAAAGCUUGUCCAUCUAUUUGACUUCGAAGACCACACAUUUUCUAAAUCAUGCACGCUGAGAAGGAUGUAUUAUAUAUACAUUAUACCAACCCACACACUUUGGGUCACUGUCAGGUCUUCAGGGAGACUUGUGCACAGUGUGAUAAUAGUGUAAAUGAUAUUCCUCUGCUGUAAAGUACUCUUUCUAAAUGAUCUCUUCUCUCUUCUGCACUCCUAUGCAUUCUCCAUCAGUUCGAUGGCUGUUACAGCAACCAAAAAUGAAAGAAUAAUUUUUGUACCAUAUCUAAGUCUUACAUGCAAGUACUGGAUUAUUAUUAUUUUUUUAAUGGGUUAAAAGCAGCAGCUUUUAUUGAUGAGGUAUAUGCAAUUUUAACUAAGAAAUUUUCACAGUGAUAUUUUUUAGGAGCUGGAAGGUAUACUGUGUAAAGGGCUGUCUAAUAUGUGCAACAGUUUUUGUGCAUUUUCCAAGGGAACUGACAACUUGCAUCUGUUACAGAUAAGAUACUCUUAAAGGUGGUCCGAAACUGAUGCUUCUCUCACUCCAGUACAAGGUUUUCAUUUUUAUUUGUUUUGUUGGUUUUUUUUAGUUUGUUUGUAAUUUCAGUUUGUUUGUUUAAUGAACUGUCAUGUUGAUUGUCUGAACCUACAGCUGGAAUAGCAUUUGUGUAAUAUACUGUUACUUUAUACUAAGUGUAAAGUUAAAAUUUUAGGACUUUGCCAUUCUAUCAUCAAUUUCAAAUUUUCCCUGAGCCACUGUUUCUGACAAUUCAUUUGAUUCUCUUGAUAAACAAGCUACUUGUUACAGUGAAUGUGGUCAAAAAUAGCUAGAAUAUUUUGCUACUCAGCAGUGCUCAUUUUAUACUGGAUGUUUAAAUCUUGGUUGCUUCAUGCUUAUUGUUGAUGGCUUUGAUAACAAUGAUUACUCAUCAGGUCUGUUUGACUAGCUGAUUGCAUAGCUUCUGUUAUAGAAAUUAUGAGGCUGGUCAGCUUCAGAAGGUAUGAACCACUCAUUCCUGGACUAGCGUGGACUUUAUUUCCAUUAUCUUGGGAUAUUUGAGUUAAAUGGAUGAAACAUAAAAUUGCUUCAGUCACAAUGAACAGAUAAAUAUGUUGUUGAAAUCUCCAGUGAAUUUUUUAUGAGUACCAACUUAAUACCUCAAUAAAAUUAAUUUCCACAUGUAUUUGCCAAACCUUCCCAGUGCAGAGGUUGUUUGAAUUUGGAGGUCCAGAAGGGUUUCUGAAAUUUCACUCUGCUUCUGCAUUGGGAUAGCACCCAGGUAUGUGUUAUCUCAUUCUCUCUCUCUCUAAGCAAUUAUUUGAAUGAGAGGAAAACACGAAGAAACAGAGAAUGACAGAAUCAUUCAAUGAUCAGGGCACAUAACUGAGUUAGAUUUGCAUGGGAUCAUCAGUCCAGGGCAUGUGAUGCUUUACAGCUCCCUCCAGUUUAGGCAUUAUGAUUUUAAGUAAGAAGGCAAGAAAUAUUUAUUGAUAUGUAUACCUGCUGUCUAUCUGGUCUCAUGCAGCCAAACAGUGUUUGAGAGACUUUUCUUACAUUGAAACAAUAAUUUCAUAGGAAGACAAACAUUCUGCGAACAAUUUUCAGUUUUCAGGACAGUUACAAUAUCUUCCAUUUACUUAUCUACUUAUCUAUCUAUCUGUUUGUCUGUGUGUCUGUCUAUAUAAUUUUAAAGUCCCUCUAGCAAAUUUCUGAGGAGGUCAAUGUGCCAAGUAAAUGCAACAUACUCGUAAGGAAUAGAUUUUACAUGUUACUUCUAUAACACUGUGUGUGUUACUGGUCUCAUAAUUCAUUUUUCAACACUUUCAUAAUUUGUUUGACUAAUAAAAAUGGGCAAAUUUUUAUAAUUAAGUUUUUAAACCCUGCUGCCCCUUCUAGAUAACAAACUUAUUUUUUUCCUCCCAAUAGCUUUAAUUCCUUAAUUUGUCAGGAUAAAUGAUGCAAGGUGGUCUUGCUAGCAAAAAAUAGCAUUGGAUUAAUCUGGAUCAGUGAGUCCUUUGCUUCAGCCUGAUAAGAGGUGAGAAAUAUUUGCCUUUUCACAUUUACAGUCCAAAGGGAUAUUCAGAGAGGAAAACUGUCUCUGUAUGGUACAAUUCCAUGCUUGUAGCACUGUUCUUCUCUGCCUCUUAUAAUGAAAGCUGAACCAAAAGACUCUCUUGGCUUUGUAAAAACUUAUUCCUCAUUGAACUGAAUCCGUGAAAUCUCUAUUCCUUCAGGCUCUUCUGAAGCAGAAUCUAUUACCUAUCAGCCCAUAACGUAUCAUGACACAGUAAGGAACUGGCAGGAGGUGAAAUAAAAGCUUAGACCACUGAUGUGCUUGAUGUUCCUUCUAAUCAAGGCAAAUAAUUCUUCAGGCUUCAUUUGAAUCUUUGAACUUUUUUUGAAUAACUUUGUGGAAAACAUAGGGCGCUUGCAGAAUUUCAGAUAUAACAGCAUUUCCUGAAAAAGUCCUCUAAGAGGCUUUCAUAAUCCUAUGUGAUUUUCAGUUUUUAUCUAUUCUUUUUGUCUGAUGGCUGCCUAUGAGGAAAAAAAGAAAAAAAAAAGAUAUUUGAAACCAAAUUAUAUUUAAACUUCUAAAUUCAUGCAGACAGGUUCCUUGUGUUCUUUGAGUAUCCAGUUACCAGCUCUCUUCUCCAUAGAUUAAAACUUCCUUUCAUUAGCAGGUACUCAUUUAUAUCUUCUUCAUUUCAGGAUUUAAGGAUUCAGUUGCUAGUACCCUACUCAUUUUGAUUAAAAAGUCAGAAAAGUUACAAGGGCUUUUUAGUCUAAGCUCCAGGGAUCAACAGUGUAUCUUCAUUUUUUUCUGAGCUGGUUCUGGAAACAAUCAUUUGCUAGUAGUUUCAUCUUUGGCAAAAUUUUCUCUUAAUUUUUACAUGCCUCAGUAAUUUGAAGAUGAACAUUCAAGGGGGUUUCAAGCAACAUUACUACAUUUUCAGUUGAUUAAAUGCAUAUUUAAGCCCUAACUUAUGGCUGUUCUGUACAUAAUUAAGCUUCCUUUCCUCUUCCUGUUCCUACAUUAAGACUCAAGUUCAUUAGACAACACAGUGAAGAGUAUUCUAAUACUUCAAGAUAGUAGAGAAUACUGAAAUCUUAUAGCUAUCCAUGCUAUUCAUAGAGAGAAUAGAAUUCCUUCUGUCCAGACACACAGGUGCGAGAAGUACUGAGCAAUCAACUAGGCAAUUUUCUGUGCUAAUACACAGGUCUGAAGGUCUGCAGUUCAACAGAAAUACGCUUGGCUGGCAUAUGUAUCUCCAGGAAGCUGAGGAUAGAAGGAUCCUGUAGCUGUGCAAUUGAUAAGCUGGAAGAUUAUUCACUCAUACUGAAUUAUAUUUUCUGUCACAGCUAGUAGCUGUUUGCCAGAUUGCUAUCUCCCCACAAUACCAGUGGCUGCUGUAGCACUAAUACAACAUGGAACACUAAUAAUAUGUGAAGGCAUUUUUCAGAGAUCAGUAAUAAUCUACCUGGUGGCAGUUCCUGACUGACAGUUUAUGUGUACUCCCCUGUGCUUGUCUUCUCAUCAAGAUCUUCAGCUACCUUUUGAGAACAUGCAUUCUGGAACAGUUCUUACACAGUUUUCAAAUCAGCUAUGUUUCAUCUAUGGCUAAAGGAAGGAGUGUGCCAAAUAUCUUUGUUUGUAGACUUAAUUUACCUCUCCUCAGAGGCAGACAGAGACAUUUAAAUCUUUAAACUCCACUCCGUUUUUCAGACUGAAUAUUCUUUUAUAUUUAAAUGCCAUGAAGGCAAUAUGCACGAUCGAUACUUAUUUAGAGGAAGUCUUUCCAGCUUACCACAACUAUGUUUAGAGCAACAGUCAGUUCAGUCUUCAAUAAGGCCAUGUGUUUUGUCUAGCAGAGAAAACUACAAUACUCUGGAGAAGGCUUGCAAAAAUAAAUGUUGACAUUUCUUUAAUGUUCUCGAAUCUCUAUAUUCUUGCCACAGAGUCACCGCUGUAAAUGGAAAAUAAAAUCUGACUGGCAAUAGAUGAGUAGCUCUUGCUAAGAAGCAAAAACACUCUAAAUUGUAAUAAUCUCCAGAUGUAAAUAUUGUAGAGGCCCCUGUACAUUUCCUCUUCAUCACGUCUUCUGUAUGUUUUUCUCAGAAUCAAGAUGAAUGCUCAUAUAUUAUCACAGGACUCCUGGAACUGAAGUCCUCAAAAUAGCACAUAUCUUUGAUAAAACUAGAAAACAUAUAAAGGUUUGGGCAAAAGAAUCAGAAUGUAAUAUGAAGGUUGCUGGGGAUCAUCACGUCUCCCAUGGCAGUUUACUCAAGAAAAAAUCUGGAUAUUUUGCUUUAAGAAGGGAAAUCUGAGAUUCUUCUUCAUCAGGACACGAAGUUUUGCUGAUGGGGACACCUGCUAAUCCCUCCCAGCCCCUCUGCGUGUCACUGAGCACACCACUCAUGCCAACCUGCCUGAAUUCAACUGUCAACCACCUUUCUUUGAAUGCAUCUACUUCUUGCAGCUUCUGUCAUUAACAUCGUAAUAAAAUAAAUUUGUACUACUGUUUUCA